GCUGUUUAACACGGAAGCGG
rnacentral:misc_RNA from 1 species